AAUGCCCAUUUUCGUUUCUGCCCUUCCGGCGAUUUCCCCACCUCCCCGCUGUCUGCCCCUGUUUCUUUGCUCGUUUUCCCCAGGCUGGUCUUCCUUUCGGAACUUGAGAAGCAUUUUUGCCUUCCCGCUUGCUGCUGUGCUCGCUUCGAAUGUGUGCUCUCCUCCUCCCUCUUUACUUUUCCCCAAGGCCCUGGAGUUGCUUUCUUUGGAGACAGCCUCUACCCACUCUUUCUUUCCAGCGCGGGGGCCAGCUGGCCCCCGAAAUCAAUCAGGGGCCCAUCAGAGACCGGGCUGGCCGCUGUCACUCCCGCCGUGGAAUUUAGGGUAACUUCAUUUUACUGUCAAGAAUGAAAGACCAGCAUCACUCAUCUUAAAUAGAAAGGUAAAGUAAAUUCGUGGAAAACAACAAUGGUAUGAAAAUCUGGCCAGAUACUUUUGCUUGCUGAACACUCUGAGCUUGUACCUAUUCUUUGUCAAAGAGGGAAAUUAGCAAGGAUUAAAGACUCAGCCUCGCCCUGAGAUUUCUCUUUGACUUCAUCUGCAGGAAAUCAUUUUGUCACUAUCCCAUUCAAUGUUACCCUGUGUCCAGCUGGUGCCUGUACCAUGACCACGAACUCUUGUGCGUUUCUUCGCCUGCCGCGCUUUGGGAGAGCCUCGACACGAGGUUAGGACGCAGUGGAGCUAAGUUUCACAAAACGUGUAGCAUGACUGCAAAAAACUAGAAACCCACACAAAGCAGCUCCAAAUGGUUUUCAAGGACACAUGGACUGAAAGAAUUCACAUUGGCUCCUUAAUAGUGAUCACCUCUGAGGAAGGGAAGAGGAAAGCGUUGUUGGCAAAGGGACUUGCACCAGAAUCCCAACAUUUUAAUUGUUUUACCAAAAAAUGCUUGAAAUAGGGAAAUACUUUUACAGUUGUUAAUUCUGCAUCAUGAGGGUGUGAUUAUGUAGCGUUCUUCAGACUUUUACGUGUUUUUGAGUUUUCUUAAAUGUAAAAGACAAUAAAAGGGAAAAGGAAGAAAAGAAGCUCAAUCAGGCAAAAUGCUCCCAGAUACGGAUGCAGGGAAGGAUCAAAAUGCUUUGGUAAAUCAGGGACUGUAUCAGUUUGCUACAGCUGCUGUAAUAAAUACCAUUGACUGCGUGGCUUAA